rnacentral:piRNA from 2 species
UUCCAAGAUGAUUGAGGUUUCUGCUGAGU